GUUAAUAGUCAAGCAGAGUUGCUAACUACCACGCAUCUGGCGUGACACUCACGCAAGAAACCUACAUUAAUCCAUUAUAAACCUAAAAUUAGCUACAUCAAAGACGAUGUGGAAGAUAUUUACAAGGUAAUAAAACUGUUACAUACGGGUAAUUUGCGUGUGCGGACUUGUCUCUAAUUGGAAAUCUCACGCCAGUCGGCCGACCAAAUUGGCAACCUUGCUAUCAAGAGAUUUGGGCGGUAUUACGUUAUUCUGAAAUGUAAUCGACAAAAUUUGCCGGGACUCCAACACCACACUGGCGAAUUUUAUCGCCACGAUUUCAAAAUGCUGGGAUAGUACUGCUUCUUAAAAUAUCGUAUACCUCGGUAUAAUGUUUGGGCAGUAUGACAAAGUAGAUAGGCCGAUACCUCCGACCCUCCUCAUCCAGAUGACGAAAUUUACGCCCCUGCGUUCACAACCGAAGACGCCGGCAGAAAACUCGUCAAAUUUCGUGGUGACGUCGUCGAUGGACAGCUGCAGGAGGUCCCAGAAUCCGGCCAGGUCCUGAGAGUUUUAAUCCAGGCCCAAGUCUGCUGCUGUAGCUGUCUUAUCAAAGUGGACUGUUCAUGGGGGUGUCAGCUCACGGACAGGAGCCUGCGAUAUGGAAGCCCAGGAGGGUCUGUCAGGGAGCGUUAUCUCGCAGAGCUUUGCAGAAGCCACAAAGUAAUAGCUGGAAAUGAAAGAGAGAAGCAUGUGUUUAAAGAAGCUCAGCACAUCUGAGGAAUUAGACAGGAGAUGACUGAGGUACAUCUGCAAGCGCAUACUUCCGGACUCACUGCGGACCGCGGCGUGUGUGUCGUUCCGGUUUUAGGGCCGAACACGAACCCAGGAUCAACAUAACUGAUUGAUAUGCUUCUUAGCGACGUAAUUCCUGAAUUAUUAAUCAAUCAUGGAGGCAGUGAAUGAAGCGAUAAAGAAGCACAGCGGGUGGAAAAGAGGACAACUGGCAUUUCAUUCAUUCAUAUUUGUCAUCAGGGGGACUCUUUAAGUCAUCGUUUACCAGAUACCAAAGAG